rnacentral:rRNA from 1 species
GGGAUACCUAAAUUUCCCAUAGCAAACUGCUUAGCAUCACAUGAUCAACUUGCCCUAUGGAGAAAAAUAACCUCGGGAAACUGAGGAUAAUGUUUCAUAGUUGAAUAGGCUUGGAAAAGUUUUUCAAUGAAAGGAAUAAGACAAAUGGGUCUUAUUUGCCAUAGGAUAGGAUCGUGGUCGAUUAUGGUAGUUGGUGAGGUAACGGCUCACCAAGCCGAUAAUCGAUAGGGGCCGUGAGAGCGGGAGCCCUAAGAUGGGUACUGAGACAGCGACCCAGGCCUUACGAGGCGCAGCAGGCGCGGAACCUCCGCAAUACACGAAAGUGUGAUGGGGUUACCCAAAGUGUUCUCUUUAGAACUGUGGUAGGUGAGUAAUGUCCCCUACUAGAAAGGAGAGGGCAAGGCUGGUGCCAGCCGCCGCGGUAAAACCAGCUCUUCAAGUGGUCGGGAUAAUUAUUGGGCUUAAAGUGUCCGUAGCCGGUUUAGUUAGUUCCUGGUAAAAUCGGGUAGCUUAACUAUCUGCAUGCUAGGAAUACUGCUAUACUAGAGGGCGGGAGAAGUCUGAGGUACUACAGGGGUAGGGGUGAAAUCUUAUAAUCCUUGUAGGACCACCAGUGGCGAAGGCGUCAGACUGGAACGCGCCUGACGGUGAGGGACGAAAGCCAGGGGAGCGAACCGGAUUAGAUACGUCGGUGCUAGAUUAAUCUAAUCAGAUCUAACAUCACGCUAAAAACCCGGGUAGUCCUGGCCGUGAACGAUGCAUACUAGGUGAUGGUACGGCCAUGAGCCGUAACAGUGCCGUAGGGAAACCGUUAAGUGUGCCGCCUGGGAAGUACGGUCGCAAGGCUAAAACUUAAAGGAAUUGGCGGGGGAGCACCACAAGGGGUGAAGCCUGCGGUUCAAUUGGAUUCAACGCCGGAAAUCCCGC